UGCCUUUCUAAGCUGCUGCUCGAAAGAGAA
rnacentral:piRNA from 1 species